UACACAAAAAUGCACAUACUGUGAGCUCGAUGAGUAGGGCGGGACACGUGGUAUCCUGUCUGAAUAUGGGGGGACCAUCCUCCAAGGCUAAAUACUCCUGACUGACCGAUAGUGAACCAGUACCGUGAGGGAAAGGCGAAAAGAACCCCGGCGAGGGGAGUGAAAAAGAACCUGAAACCGUGUACGUACAAGCAGUGGGAGCCUCUUAAUGGGGUGACUGCGUACCUUUUGUAUAAUGGGUCAGCGACUUAUAUUCUGUAGCAAGGUUAACCGAAUAGGGGAGCCGAAGGGAAACCGAGUCUUAACUGGGCGUUAAGUUGCAGGGUAUAGACCCGAAACCCGGUGAUCUAGCCAUGGGCAGGUUGAAGGUUGGGUAACACUAACUGGAGGACCGAACCGACUAAUGUUGAAAAAUUAGCGGAUGACUUGUGGCUGGGGGUGAAAGGCCAAUCAAACCGGGAGAUAGCUGGUUCUCCCCGAAAGCUAUUUAGGUAGCGCCUCGUGAAUUCAUCUCCGGGGGUAGAGCACUGUUUCGGCAAGGGGGUCAUCCCGACUUACCAACCCGAUGCAAACUGCGAAUACCGGAGAAUGUUAUCACGGGAGACACACGGCGGGUGCUAACGUCCGUCGUGAAGAGGGAAACAACCCAGACCGCCAGCUAAGGUCCCAAAGUCAUGGUUAAGUGGGAAACGAUGUGGGAAGGCCCAGACAGCCAGGAUGUUGGCUUAGAAGCAGCCAUCAUUUAAAGAAAGCGUAAUAGCUCACUGGUCGAGUCGGCCUGCGCGGAAGAUGUAACGGGGCUAAACCAUGCACCGAAGCUGCGGCAGCGACACUAUGUGUUGUUGGGUAGGGGAGCG
rnacentral:rRNA from 1 species